rnacentral:lncRNA from 1 species
AGAGAUAAGCCCUGGCCCUCCUUCCUCUCUUCCUUUCCCUCCUUCCCAUGGAAUCACGCACCCCUGCCAGCCGUCGAGUUUAUUGGAAAUCCUAUAAAAAGCUAAAACUCUAUUUUUUCUUUGUUCGAUCAAGCCAUCUCUUCUUCGUUUUCGACGACCUACGCUGCUAUUGGUGGUGCCGUACCUAUACAGCAUGACCCCCACCUUUCUGCCUUCCUUUUUCGAAGGUCAUGGCCAUCGGUGAACGGCCAAUGAUCGGAGAAAUUCGAAGUUAGGGGGUGGUCCCCUAUUUUUUCGAUUAUUUUCUAUUUUCUUUUGGCCUACCGCCUGCUGCCGGCCCUCUCUUGCUCCAUUACCAUCAGUCAGAUGCCCACCACCCGUUGUCAGUCAUCCGAUCAUAAACCACCAAACC